CCAGUUCUCAGUGUGCAGUCGUACAACGUGUCUGCUCACCUUUUUACCCCUCCUGCGUGUCGAGCAAGGAGCAGAACGUGUCUGGCUCCCAUCUGCACAGGGUAGCCGAGCUGGGCGUGCCUUUUCGCUUGGGUUCACCAUAUGGUACCAGAACAGCUUUGUGAGCAUGGAGCAGGGAUAAUUCAUGGGCCCUGGGCUGUGGAGAGGAGAGGCUGCCAAAAGAAAUGUCUUUGGAACCGGAGCCAAGUCAUCAGGUAAAAGGCUCUCUGCCUGCCCAUGCCAAGCAGGGCCUUUUGCUAUGAUCCAAAUAUUUAUGUCUUUACAAAAUACAUAAACAUUUCAACA